rnacentral:rRNA from 1 species
GAUGAACGCUGGCGGCGUGCCUAACACAUGCAAGUCGAGCGGCAGCGAGGGGUGCUUGCACCCUGUCGGCGAGCGGCGGACGGCUGAGUAACGCGUGGGAACGUGCCCCAAAGUGAGGAAUAACUGCCCGAAAGGGUAGCUAAUACCGCAUAUUAUCUUCGGAUCAAAGGAUUUAUCCGCUUUGGGAGCGGCUCGCGUCGGAUUAGGUAGUUGGUGAGGUAAUGGCUCACCAAGCCGGCGAUCCGUAGCUGGUCUGAGAGGAUGACCAGCCAGACUGGAACUGAGACACGGUCCAGACUCCUACGGGAGGCAGCAGUGAGGAAUCUUCCACAAUGGGCGAAAGCCUGAUGGAGCAACGCCGCGUGCAGGACGAAGGCCUUCGGGUUGUAAACUGCUUUUAUAAGUGAGGAAUAUGACGGUAACUUAUGAAUAAGGAUCGGCUAACUACGUG